UGGGCCAUGGGCCAUGGUUUUCCAACCCCUGGUAUAGAGCACAGAAGAGGAAACAAAAUUGACUCUGUACUAAUUUCCCUCACCAGGCAGCUUCAUUUAUUCAUGUACACAUUGUUCAUUACUCUGAAAAAUUUUUCUACAGCUGCAUUCAGAACAGGAAUCAAAACAUGAGAAUAAAAUAAUUUCAGCAAUUUUGGAACUUCUAUGAAUUAAACAACUGUGCUGACUCCAAGGGGAAAGAAAUGAUACAGUCAAAGCAAGAACUUCAUCAUAAAGGAAUUAAGAAAGAGGUGCUUUUUUCCUAAAAGUUUAGUUCCCCACCCAUUGAUGUUGUGCUCAGCCACACGACUUGCCCUGGCCAACGGAUGCAGAUGAAGUAAGAGUGUGCUACUACAGAGCAGAGGCCUUUAAUGACCUCCCCAGAAAACCUAAGCCAUAGCCUAAAGCCAAACCAUUCCAGCCACCCUGCAGAUCUACCGAGGAGGAAAACUAAUGUUUGUUGUUAAAAUAUUUUUCACAUUGCCAUGUGAGAAAGUAUGGUUUGUAAACAAUCAUCAGUUCAGGAAAAAUGUCUCACCUCUCUUAAUAAACUGAGCCAUUGAGUGUGAUUAAGCCACAUAAUUUUACAGAAAUCAUUUUCAAAAAUUUCUCAUCUUUUUCCAAAUGUUAAAUGGUGUAGUAGGAUAGUAUUCUGAAGAACUAAUGAAUGUGCCCUCAACAAUUCUCUACAUUUUAUUGAAUUGUUAACCUGUAGGGCCUUUUCCCACUCCAAAGGCUGGAAAAGAGGAAAGACUGUUUCAAAC
rnacentral:lncRNA from 1 species